UCUGCAGAUACAGUAUAAAGCCAAGCAAGGUGUGGAGAGAGAUUUUGCUUAGUUGAAGCCAGUUGAAGUGAAGAUACAGUAUAAAGCCAAGCAAGGUGUGGAGAGAGAUUUUGCUUAGUUGAAGCCAGUUGAAGUGAAGAUCCUUGAAGUUGAAGUUGGUUGAAGCAGAGGUGUGAGUGAUAGCCAGCAAGAACACAAAUAAACAGCAAGGACGAGUGUUGGAUUGUCUGUGUUGGAGUUACUGGAAGGAGGUAGUGGUGUUUAAGUAAGUAUUAGGGGACUUGAGUUGAAAGUGUUCAGCCUAUGGUCAUGGUAGUAACUGUUCAAAAAGGAUUAAUUAUGUUAUGCCAUGUAGUGGCACUGAUUUAAUCUUACCUAUGUUUUGACUUUAUCUUACCUAUGUUUUGACUUUAAGGUCAGUUGAGCUGAUUCUAUAGGAAGGCACAAAAUGAACAAUUGUCAAAGCAAAUACUAUGAUUAUGAUUGCACAUGCAGCAAUUAAAAAAAAAUGAGAUUACAUUGUGAAAUAAGCCUACAAUGAGAUCAAAUAAAUCUGUUGGCAUAUAGGGUGAAAAAGUUUUAAACCAUGGGAUUGUUUAAGGCCAAAAUUUGGAUGAUAUAGUCAUUCAUUGGAAACCUCCAUGUUGUGUUGAGAUCAUGGGUCAAUUAUAUAGGUCAAAGUUUAAAUUAGGUCAAAUGUUAUGGCAUACCUGCAGGACUAAAGAAUAAAAAACAUUUUACACAUUGAAAAUCCUUAUUUGUCAAACCUGUAUUGCACAUUCUGUGUAUACCUCUGUCCGAAUAGGGGAAAGUGGUUAGACUUUUGUGACAAUUAAUCUUGUAACUUUUAUAUCCUGUCCAAAAUGAUUUUUACUAAAAUGAUUACUUGGUAUUCUGCUAUUAGCCAUAAUGGCUGGAAUUCACAAAGGUGGUUUAGAUUUAGACCACGGUUUAUGCUUUUUAUGGCUAUAUUACAUUGCGCUGUUUACAUUUUUAAUGUGCAAUAGUACCUGUGUUUUCAAGAUCUUCACACUUGGUACAAAAAUAAGGAAGAAUAGUUUUUGGUGUUAUAUAUCAAGGUUAUGUUUACAUAGACAUUUUCUGCUUGACAAGUCAAAUAAUUAUAUUGAGGGCUACGGCAAUACUGUGGUUCAUGGGAAGAAGGAGGCAUACCAGUAGACUGCACACAGUCGAAUCAAAUGAAACAUGUCUCAGCCAUCAUAUUAAGCCCAUCAAUUGUAGACUCUUCCAUUGGGUGUUGCCAAAAUUUGAAUAGAAUCCAUCAAACAUGUAAGGAGUUGGUCAAGAUGAAGAAAAAAAGGGGGGGGGGGUGUUAAACACAUAGUGCAAACAUGCACAAAUAUCUUGAUUUUAGUCUAAUACAAUACAUAUUGUACAUGUGACCUUGCCUAAGUCGAACUUGGAUAAGUCAAAACUUGCCAAAGUCGAAGGUCUACACAGAGCCCAACCUGUUUUGUCCUAUUGUUUUAUGACCCUCGGUCUCUCAGAAAGCUAUUUUAUGGAUCCCAAGAGAUUUUAGUUACUGUAUGUAAGGUUGAUUAUGUAUUCAAUUUUCUGUCUCUGUUCUUUUGGCAGGUACUGGUUGCUUUGGAAGGCAAUUUGUGUUUGUGUUGUUAUUUAUCAAAUCAUCUUCAUUUUUCAAAACAUUACAUACCAUACCAUUCCAUCUUCACCCUCAGAACUCGUGAUCUUGAGUUUUUGAGAAAAGCAGUACUCAUUCAGAAGUUCAUUUGAAGUUUCAUCCAGAAUCCCAUUCCCAUUCUAUCAUAUUCAAAACAUUACAUACCAUACCAUUCCAUCUUCACCCUCGGAACUCGUUAUCUGAGUUUUUGAGAAAAGCAGUACUCAUUCAGAAGUUCAUUUGAAAUUUCAUCCAGAAUCCCAUCCUAAAGUCUGUUUAUUGGCAACUCACGACAAUAAGCCUCUAGCACUUAUAAGCUAGUCGGUGAGUCAAGAAGAGUUGUGGUAGACAGCAAGAGAAAGUCUGUUUAUUGGCAACUCACGACAAUAAGCCUCUAGCACUCAUACAUAAGCUAGUCGGUGAGUCAAGAAGAGUUGUGAUAGAUAGCAAGAGAAAGUCUGUUUAUUGGCAACUCAUGACAAUAAGCCUCUAGCACUUAAGAAGCUAGUUGGUGAGUUAAAGAAGAGUUGUGAUAGAUAGCAAGAAUCACAUUGAACCACAAUUAUUCUAUUGAAACCUGAGAAACCUUGAAUCAAGAGCUAUUCUUAUCACAGAAGUGAUUCUUAUAACUUUUUUUCUGAAUCUAUUCUAAGCUGUCUGAACUUUUCUAAUUACAGAAGUAAUUCCUACAAGACAGAGGUCUUGAUCUUUUGCUACAGAAGUAGCCCUACUUUCUUGUGAUACUUUAUUUCUGAAUCUACUCUAUCUUACUGAACUUCACAAAUCUUCUCCUAUUUUACAAGCUUUCUAAAUAUAUUCUUUAUCACAGAAGUGAUUCCUACAAGAUUUCUGAAUCUAUUUUAUUCUAAGCUGUCUAAACUUUUCUUACCUAUUCCUAUUACUGAAAAAAGUGAGCUUGAUUGAGUGUAAAGUGAAUAAAGCAGAAUUGAUUGAAGAGAGUUUGGAGCUGAAUAUAUAGAAAUAAACGUAAGAUUGAUUGAUUGUAAAGUGCAUAAGCUGAAGUGAUUGCAGAGAGAACAGAGUUUGGAGAAAAGACAGAAAUAUAUGUGUGAUUGAUUUAAUUGCAAAGACAAUAAGAGUUGUAAAAGUAUAAGUGAGCCUAAGUGAUUGCAGAGAGUAAGACAAGAGCUUUGGUCAGGAUAUUCUGAGAUUGAGACAUACAAGUGAGGUUGAUUGCAGAGAAAGAAGUUUUGGUCAGGAUAUUUAGAGAUUGAGACAUACAAGUGAGGUCGAUCUAUUGCAGAGAAAGAAGUUUUGGUCAGGAUAUUUAGAGAUUGAGACAUACAAGUGAUAUUGAUUGCAGAGAAAGAAGUUCUGGUCAGGAUAUUUAGAGAUUGAGACAUACAAGUGAGGUCGAUCUAUUGCAGAGAAAGAAGUUUUGGUCAGGAUAUUUAGAGAUUGAGACAUACAAGUGAUAUUGAUUGCAGAGAAAGAAGUUCUGGUCAGGAUAUUUAGAGAUUGAGACAUACAAGUGAGGUUGAUUGCAGAGAAAGAAGUUCUGGUCAGGAUAUUUAGAGAUUGAGACAUACAAGUGAGGUUGAUUUUUCUUUAUUAUGGAAUUUGAAGGUGAUCAAUUCAAGGAAGUGAUACAAGAGAUUGUAGAUAUGCUAUGGAGUUGUGCAUCAGUUCUCGAUCCGCAGAAUGAAGAAUGUUGCGUAUGUAGGAAUACAAUUGAAGAAAGUGAAAACCAAGCUACUUGUGAGAGCUGCAAUGAAUAUUAUCAUGUGACAUGUAUGGGUUUUUUGUGUCAAGAUCGAGUGAAUGAGCGGAGAUUAAUCUGGAUUUGUUCAUCUUGUGGUAAUAACAACAUUGCGCAUCGACUGUUUGAUAAAGUAUGUAUCCCCUCUCAUUUGAAUAGAUACCAGCCUCUUGAGACAGUAGAUGAAGAAUUUGAUGAUGAUGUGCCCCUCUUACCCAAGCAAGAUGGCACACAAAAGAAAUCCAAAUCAAAGAAAAGGUAUUUUAAGAAAUGCAAGAAAAUCAAUAUAGAGCCAGGAAAUCAUAGUGAGUUUGACACACGUGAACAUGAUCCUGUAGUCACUCAAAGAGAUUCCCCCAAACAACGUGAUAAAGUGCAUAGUGAAGAAGUAGAUAGUAGUGAAUGGAUGAAGGUGAAAACAAAGAAGGCAAGGAUGUUGGAAAAGAUGCAAGAAAGAAUAUCGCAAUUAACAGCAAAAAGUGACAGUGGAACAGGUCAGGAAAAGAGAAUCAUAAAUGGUGUUGUUCUAGAACCUGGUGUAACAUACAUUGGCAAAGCAAUGAAAUCUUUCUAUGAAAGACGGAAAAGUAGAAAAUCAAAACGCAAAGUAGACAUCAAACUAAACAGAGAUGUAGAAUGUCGGAAAGUAAAGGAUAAUAGUGUUCAAAUGUACACAGAAACAUUGCUAGAUGAAUAUGCAAAGUGUGUGCAGUCACCACAGUCGAUGAUGUACCAUGAAACGCACCUCUACAAACAAAACAACGUGAAGGAGGAACAAUCUUGGGCUGAUGUAGUAGGCCAUGUACAAAAUGAAACAACACAGACAAAAUCUAUUGUUGGCAGUGUGACAUAUAGUCAUGUUUCUUUGAAACAAUCCAAGGGCAAAGAACAGAGCACAUUCAGAGUAUGUGGUGGUGCAAAACACUCACAAAAACCUGAAGUAGGAAACAAGAAAGUCCGUGUUCUAAAGGGCAACAAAACAUCUUGUGGAAAGUCAGUUGAUUCUAAAGUAUUGAAAAUGGAAGUAUUGAACGAUAAAGGAAAAGGAUGUGACGGAAAGACUAAAAGCGUGGGUGAAGUAAAGGUAGAUAAAGGCAAUAGUACUACUGUAAUCGAGGAGAAAUUGUGUGGCAGUGAUAAAGACAUGACAGAAAUACAGUCCAAAGCAGCAGAAAAUGGUCAGGUCAUUAAUACUUUUGAGGUUGGUAACCAAGUCACUUACAAAACAAGCAGUGAGCAUGAUGAUGAAUGUGCAAAUGAUCAAUUUGUCAAGUCACAGAAGUUUAUUCCUAAGAAAAUGUUUGGAAUGGAACAUGACAGUAAAUUCCAUAAACAGUCAGUCAACACGUCUAAUGUAAAUUUAGAAGAGAAGCAAAUCCCAAAUGAAAACAUAUCAAAUAUGGAACAAAAUACACUUGUGAAAUGUGUUGCCAUGGGCAAUUUUCAUCAAGGAAAUGCUAGAUUUGGAUUUUAUUCUGGAAAGCAAUGUGUUUCUAACAGUUUUGCUGCUAUUUUAUACAGUAAAAUUACAGAUGUUUCCCAAUGGCAAAAACAAGAUCUUGACAAGGUAUUGAUUUAUGGUAAUGAGUUGUAUAAAUUUAUUCAGCUUAGUUCUGCAAUAAAUGAUAAUUUCUUGUUGAUAUCUGAAUUACCUGAUCAAUUAGAAGCUUUUGAUGUCCAUUAUAAAAUGCAAUGUUCUCAGAGUGUUAUGGGUACAAUUUGUGGAGAUGAUUUUUUUUUGAUUAAUUUUAAUGCAGUAACAUUGAAAGAUGCUCUCCAUCAGGAAUUGGAUAGACAUGAUGCAUGCUUUUGUACAUUUGGUGGCCAAACAUUUGCAAUCAUAUCCACACGAAAACAAUAUUUUAUUUUUGAUUCACAUUCUAGAGACAGGCAUGGACUUAUGACAGAUGAUGGGACCAGUGUCGUUCUAUGUACAUCAAACUGGAAAGGUCAAUCUCUCUUUGUCUGACAGGGAAGGAAGUUAAUCACAACAUUCUGAGGCAGACAUGUAUCCAACAUUUGCUGCAAAACUCACAUAUAUUUGCUGGUUGUUUAAGGUAUGAAUUUUCAUCAGUUAAGGACUAUGUCAGUAGAAAUAAACCACAAAUCAAUAGUAAAUGGGCCACUGAGGUAGAGAUUGCUGUGAUGGCACAUCUGCUUGAAACAGAUAUAUUGAUUUACAGUGAUACAUAUCUGAAUUGGAGACUGUAUUCAUGGGAUAACCCUGGACGAAUUGUACAUGAAUCAAAUAUGAGAGGCAUUUAUCUAUUACAUGUUAAAGGUGUACAUUUUGAUUAUGUUGAAUCUGUCGAAUGUAUUGAUUCGGGUAUUGACGAAGGAAAAAAAACCAAGGAAAUUGAACCAUGUUCAAUUCAUGAAAAGAAAAGAAUGGGUGAAACUAAGGAAGUUACAUGUACUAUAAAAAGAUCUGUUCAUAGUGAUAUGCUUGAAGACAAUGAAAGUGAAAGUGAUACAAUAAUUAUUGAAGAUAUUAAAUAUUCCAAUUUAUCAGUCUUGAAAAAUGGUGUUACUGAUGUUAAAUGUAUUGAUUUGGUUAUUGACGAAGGAAAAAAAACAAAGGAAGUUACAUGUAAUAAACAGAGAUCUAUUCAUAGUGAAAUGCUUAAAGACAAUAAAAGUAAACUAUCCAAACAAUAUGCAUCUUGUGCAACGAAAGAUGAAAUUGAUGAAACGUUUAUGCCAAGUCUAAGCGGAAAAAGUGAAGACAUCUUUAUUUCCAAAAGAAAGAGAAAAGGUGACACAAUUCAUGAAAGUGUAAAGUGUGCUAAAUCGAAAAAGAUGUCUUUUCCACGAAUGCAUAGAUAUUGCAAAACAAAACAACCAAAACUGGAAAACGAUGAGAGGGCUAAAAAAUCAGCUUCUAGAAUUAUUAGUUAUCCAUCAGAAAAUUGUAAUACUAUUAAUAGAGGUGUUGCUGAUGUUUUAAAUAAAGGAAACAUGUUCAUUGGAAAUGACCCUUUAAAGAUACUGAAUGAAAAAAUUGCAUUGAAAAAAGUGUCAAUUAGACUGAUACGAUUAUCUGAAUCUGAAUUAAAAAAUAUUUCAUUUGAAUACGGAUCUUGCGCAACGAAAGAUGAAAUUGAAGAAACGUUUGUGCCAAGUGUAAGCGGAAAAAGUGAAGACAUUUUUAUUUCAAAAAGAAAGAGAAAAGGUGACACAAUUCAUGAAAGUGUAAAGUGUGCUAAAUCGAAAAAGAUGUCUUUUCCACAAAUGCAUAGAUAUUGCAAAACAAAACAACCAAAACUGGAAAACGAUGAGAGGGCUAAAAAAUCAGCUUCUAGAAUUAUUAGUUAUCCAUCAGAAAAUUGUAAUACUAUUAAUAGAGGUGUUGCUGAUGUUUUAAAUAAAGGAAACAUGUUCAUUGGAAAUGACCCUUUAAAGAUACUGAAUGAAAAAAUUGCAUUGAAAAAAGUGUCAAUUAGACUGAUACGAUUAUCUGAAUCUGAAUUAAAAAAUAUUUCAUUUGAAUACGGAUCUUGCGCAACGAAAGAUGAAAUUGAAGAAACGUUUGUGCCAAGUGUAAGCAGAAAAAGUGAAGACAUUUUUAUUUCAAAAAGAAAGAGAAUAGGUGACACAAUUCAUGAAAGUGUGAAGUGUGCUAAAUCAAAAAAGAUGUCUUCUCCAAAAAUGCAUAGAUAUUGCAAAACAAAACAACCCAAACUGGAAAGAAAUGAGAGGGAAAAAAAAUCAGCUUCUAGAAUUACUAGUUAUCCAUCAGGAAUUGUUCAUACUAUGAAUAGAGGUGUAAUUGAUGUUUUAAAUGAUGAACAAAUUGUAUUGAAAAAAGUGACAAUUAGACUUAUACGAUUAUCUGAAUCUGAAUUAAAGAAUCUUUCAUUUGAUCUUUUAAAAGAUAUAAAGAAAACACAAUCCAGUGCUAACUUACAAGGUACAAAUAUUCCAGUAAAAGGUUCUACAAUUGAAUUCCCUAAAAAACAAAUUAAAAAAGAAAACAAGAAAAGCAAAUGUAAGCAGUCUUUAAGAAAACGACAACAAUUAGCUAAAGAAAGGAUGAAAGCAAAAAGGAAACCAAUUAAUGAUCAUGAUGCAUACGAUAAUGUUCAAAAUAAUGAGAAGUACAUGGAUGGUUGCAAAUUCAAAGGAGAUUUCAGUGAUGUAAAGAAGACAAAAAUGAAGCAAAAGUAUCACUCUAACGAAUGUUUCAGAGAUGAAAAGAAAAAGAAGAUUAAACAAAAGUAUCAGUCUGACAAAUCCUUCAGAGAUGAACACAAGCAGAAAAUAAAGCAUAAGUAUCAGUCUAAUACAUUGUUUAGAGAUGAACACAAGAAGAAACUAAAUUUGAAAUAUGAGUCUAAUAAAUCCUUUAGAGAUGAACGCAAGAAAAAAAUACAUUUGAAAUAUGAGUCUAAUACAUUGUUUAGAGAUGAACACAAGAAGAAAAUGAAACAGAAAACAAAGCAUGACUAUCAGUCUAAUAAAUCUUUCAGAGAUGAACACAAGAAGAAAAUAAAAUUGAAAUAUGAGUCUAAUACAUUGUUUAGAGAUGAACACAAGAAAAAAAUAAAAUUGAAAUAUGAGUCAGAUACAUUGUUUAGAGAUGAACACAAGAAAAAAAUAAAAUUGAAAUAUGAGUCUAAUACAUUGUUUAGAGAUGAACACAAGAAAAAAAUAAAAUUGAAAUAUGAGUCUAAUACAUUGUUUAGAGAUGAACACAAGAAAAAAAUAAAAUUGAAAUAUGAGUCUAAUACAUUGUUUAGAGAUGAACACAAGAAAAAAAUAAAAUUGAAAUAUGAGUCUAAUACAUUGUUUAGAGAUGAACACAAGAAAAAAAUAAAAUUGAAAUAUGAGUCUAAUACAUUGUUUAGAGAUGAACACAAGAAGAAAAUGAAACAGAAAACAAAGCAUGACUAUCAAUCUAACAAAUGCUUCAGAGAUAUGCGCAAGAAGAAAAUAAAACAUAAGUAUCAAUCUAACCAGCAUUAUAGGCAGAGACUCGCAGAAAAAAAUAAAGAACGCGCUGGACUUAAGAAAAUGAGUUUCAAAAAAUUAGAAAAUGUACUAGAAAAUUUCAGAAAUGUUAUUUCUCAUGGACCAGAAUAUGUCUGUUGUGUAUGUCUGAAAUUGCUUUUUCAAAGUCAAGUCUUAAAAUGCAUUAAACAAAAUUACCAAAACAAAACGUGUAUAAAUGAGUCCUAUUUACACAUUUGCAAUUCACAAUGUAAUGAAAACUGUCGAUUGGCGCACUCAUCUCGUGGACAUUUAUGGAUAUGCUUUACAUGCCACAGAAAAUUGUUGGUGAAUAAAUUACCAGCUGAGGCUAGUGUUAACAGUUUGCAAUUGCAUGAGAUUCCAGAUGAAUUGAAGGACUUGAAUAAUUUAGAGCAACAUUUAAUUGCACGUAACAUAAGUUUUUUCAAAUUAAUCCGUUUACCUAAGGGAGGUCAAAAUGCAGUUCAUGGACCAGUUGUUUGUGUGCCUUCGAAUACAAUGAAAACUGUAAAUAUGUUACCUCCACCAGAAAGAGAAGAUCAAUUAAUCCGUGUGAAAUUAAAAAGAAAAAUAUCUUAUAAGGGCCAUCAUGAGUAUAAAUUUGUUAAUAAAAUUAAGGUGCUAAAUGGGUUGCACUAUUUGAAGAAAAACAAUAAGUGGUAUUCUGAUAUAAGUAUUAAUGAAAACUGGAAUAAUUCGUUGUCAGGAGAAAUGUGUAGUGCAGAAACAAACGACAAUGACGAUUCAAUUCAAAACUUUGAAGAACAGGAAACCGAUGACCAAGAAGCAAGGUUAAAUGGAAUUCAACUUGAUACCUGCUUGCAACCAGUUGAUAUUGGACAAGAAAUCCUUGAUCAACAUUUUGAUGAUAUUUUCUGUUGUGCUCCAUGUGAAGGCAACAAUCCCAUAGCACUUCUUAGAGAUGAAAGCAAUGAACCAAAAUCGUUUCCUGUAUUAUUUCCAAAAGGUCAACCAACUUAUCAUGAUGUCAGAAGUGUACGAGUGACCCUUGGAAGUUGUUUAUCGCCCUCCGACAUACAGAAUAAAAGACUUCUCAGCGACACUUCUGCCCCAGAGAUCACGUUCUGUCUCAGUAACGUCUUCGUCUAGGCUGCGGCGGGUGCCAGCACUGCCACAGCCUCCUGGGACGUCUCUACAACUAUGGACGCCUCAGAACCCAUCACAGCAGUCAGCAACUACUCGCCUGGUGAUUCCUUUGAUGUUGGCACUUAUCUGGUCAUAACGCUGGUUUCUACUCAACAUGCAGCUUUGAGGUCACUGUCACUUCAAGUGGAGUGGUCAUCGACAGAAAGAACCCCAUCCUGACCGGCUGUCUGACCGACAUCGUUGCCAAUGCCGGCCCUGGUACCUCGACCACGAUGGUUUCAUGGCUGGCUCCUGUGGCAUCAGACAACUCUGACUCCGCUACCCCGACGGUCAACCGACCACUAGGCAGUUCUUCCCUGUUGGAUCUACUGAGGUCACUUACACAGCUACCAACCCCACUGGGAACUUUGUCACGUGCAGUUUCGACUUCAAUGUCUUGUCUACCGAUGACAACACAGCCCCAGUCCUGUCGAACUGCCUUUCAGACCAAACCGUGUUCGCCUCUCAAAACGCCCAAGGUGCUGUAGCUACGUGGUCAGCACUGACUGCUACUGAUAACUCUGAUGACGUCAUGUCGAUCACAAGUGACUUCAGCUCCGGAACCCUUAUCCCGGUUGGCGUGACCACUGUGACCUUCACUGCUACGGACAGCUCUGGCAACAUGGACACUGUGAUUUCUCUGUUUCAGUCUUAGUUGGUGCCAACCCUUGUUCCAGCAACCCAUGCGCUCCCAGUGAACAGUGCUUCUACAUCCCAUCCCGAUACCUGUGUAUCAACAACGGCAGGAGGAGGAGAGAAGCUGAGAUGCUUGACCUUAGCUAUAUCUGCCUUUGCCAGAAUGGCGGUAUGUGUCUCCUAGACGACGCCACAUCCUCGGCCACCUGUGAAUGCCCCGUUGGAUACGCUGGUGUGCUCUGUGAGAUGGAUAUAAUGCCUGCUGCAUGGCGAUUAUGCUCGUCGUCAUCAUCUCUCUAUCUGGGUUGCCUUGUUACAUCAUACCGCGCCUCGGCAUGGUUCGUUGACAUCGAAGCAAGAUAGAUGAAAUUCCAAUCCUUCAAUAAACAGAACACUGCUCACAAGCUCAUUUAAAUCUAAUCUAAGCUUAUUGCAUUCAUGCCUUUGCUAGAAAGAUCCAUUGUGUAAUCCCAAUGGUAAGUUAUGAGAAUUGAAAUAUUGAAAUGUACAUGCGAGGAGAUAUCUAUUUCUAUGCAAAACAUGAAUUCAAAUGGCUGGUAAUUAGAUUUCUCAAAAGGGAAAAAUCUUGUGGCCAUUAGGCAAUGUUUGUUGAAGAAUGUCUUCUAACCAUUAUGUAUUAAUUGUGCUACAAAUGUCUGUAAAUACUGUGUACGCUUAAUGGUACAUUCUUAGUUGCAUAAUUUCACGUUGAUGUAAGACGUAGUCAAAGGCCGAAACAUGGAGGAGGUGUUGUUUUCAAUGUGCUGAUUGGGUGUCAAUGCGAUUUUUUGUUUAUGUCCCAUGAAACUAUUUGUUAAUAUGUUAUGUUACUUCUCUGAGAUUACCCUAAGAAUAUUCUCUCUGUGUGAACACUUACUAGCCUUUCUCUCUGAAAUUCAUCUAGAAAUGCUGUGUUUGUAAUGUUUUUGUCACGACAGAACUGAUCAUUUGUCGAUUUUUCUUCUUCAAACUAAUUGUUGACGGCUCAGACUUUAAUGCCAACUGAAAAAUAUGGCUAUGUUUAGGUUGUUUUGUUGGAAAGGAGUAAUGUUUGGAAGUAUUUUUGACUUUAUUUCGCUUCAGGUAUGCUUUUGUGUGGUUUAAAUCCCUGACUACGGUACUUUAUUUCAAUCUCAAAGUAUUUCAAACACCAAAGCAUUUCAGAAAUGCCAAAUAUAUCAUGUUUUAUAUUGCAUUCACUUAUAUAUAUUGCAGAAUUUUUAUAUUAAAUUACAUCAAUUCUG